ACGUACACUCCUACGGGAGGCAGCAGUGGGGAAUAUUGCACAAUGGGCGCAAGCCUGAUGCAGCCAUGCCGCGUGUAUGAAGAAGGCCUUCGGGUUGUAAAGUACUUUCAGCGGGGAGGAAGGCAAUACGGUUAAUAACCGUGUUGAUUGACGUUACCCGCAGAAGAAGCACCGGCUAACUCCGUGCCAGCAGCCGCGGUAAUACGGAGGGUGCAAGCGUUACUCGGAAUUACUGGGCGUAAAGCGCACGCAGGCGGUCUGUCAAGUCGGAUGUGAAAUCCCCGGGCUCAACCUGGGAACUGCAUUCGAAACUGGCAGGCUUGAGUCUUGUAGAGGGGGGUAGAAUUCCAGGUGUAGCGGUGAAAUGCGUAGAGAUCUGGAGGAAUACCGGUGGCGAAGGCGGCCCCCUGGACAAAGACUGACGCUCAGGUGCGAAAGCGUGGGGAGCAAACAGGAUUAGAUACCCCUAGUAGUCCCA
rnacentral:rRNA from 1 species